rnacentral:tRNA from 1 species
UCUUUGAUAGCUUAAAUAGAGCAUGGCUUUGAAGCAGCCAGGGUGAAAACUUUCUUAAAGAA